rnacentral:rRNA from 1 species
AAGUCUGGUGCCAGCAGCCGCGGUAAUUCCAGCUCCAAUAGCGUAUAUUAAAGUUGUUGCAGUUAAAAAGCUCGUAGUUGAAUUUCGGGGUUAGUAGGUUGGUCAUGCCUCUGGUAUGUACUGGUCUCACUGAUUCCUCCUUCCUUAUGAACCGUAAUGCCAUUAAUUUGGUGUUGCGGGGAAUUUGGACUGUUACUUUGAAAAAAUUAGAGUGUUUAAAGCAAGCUAACGCUUGAAUACAUUAGCAUGGAAUAAUGAAAUAGGACGUUCGAUCUUAUUUUGUUGGUUUCUAGGAUUGACGUAAUGAUUAAUAGGGAUAGUUGGGGGCAUUAGUAUUCAAUUGUCAGAGGUGAAAUUCUUGGAUUUAUUGAAGACUAACUACUGCGAAAGCAUUUGCCAAGGAUGUUUUCAUUAAUCAAGAACGAAAGUUAGGGGAUCGAAGACGAUCAGAUACCGUCGUAGUCUUAACCAUAAACUAUGCCGACUAGGGAUCGGAUGAUGUUAAUUUCUUAAUGACUCAUUCGGCGCCUUACGGGAAACCAAAGUGUUUGGGU